rnacentral:lncRNA from 10 species
UCCUUCCUUCCUUCCUUCUCUCUUUCUUUCUUUCUUUUCUUUCCUUUCUUUUUCUUUCUCUUUCCUUCCUGCUUUUAUUUCUUCUCUCUGUCUCUCUCUGUCUCUGUCUCUGUCUCUCUCUCUCUCCUGUUGCCUAGGCUGGAGUUUAGCUCACUGCAACCUCUGCCUCCUGGGUUCAAGCAAUUCUCCUCCCUCAGCCUUCUGAGUAGCUGGGACUACAGGCUUUAGAACUGGCGGCUUUAUAAGAAGAGAAAGAGAGAUCUGAGCUAGCACACUCAACCCCCUUGCUCUGUGAUGCCCUGUGCCAUCUCGGGACUCUGCAGAGGGUCCCCACCAGCAAGAAGGCCUUCACCAGAGCGGCCCCUUAACCUUGGACUUCCCAGCCUCCAUAACGGAUGAAACUGAUGGAGGAUUACUUGCAAUAAAGGGAAUCCUGGACGGGACAUGGUUCUGUUCCUGCUGGUUGGGAGGUCGUGACAACUAUGUCUAUGGACACAUAGUCACAGGUUGUGUGUGGCUGGGCUAUAGUUUAGGGACAUCUGUCUAACCAUCCAUGUAUUUAGUAAUGACUUAGUGACUUCUGGUGUGUUGAUGCAGGUUUUUCUUUCCCUCAAUGUUUUAGAUUUCAUGAAGCAUUAAAAUUAAUUCAACAAUUAUUUAUAUAUUGAGUGACUAUCUAUGCCAGGCACUGGAUAGGUAACAAGGAACAAAGCAGACAAAAGCCCUGUCCACAUUUUUGAGUGGCAGAAGGUAAAGUAUUUGAGGGAUUAACCUAGAAUUGCCAACUUUUCAUUUUACUAAGUUAGGACUUAAGGAGAGAAGAGAAGCUGCUUUGACUGUCAUUAGUAUCAGUUUUCCCCUAGAAGAAAAUGGUUAUUUUCAUGUCCAACAGAGUGGAAGUAUAUAUUCUUAUUUUUUUUAGUGGCUUAAAACAAUAAACAUUUAUUAUCUCACGCAGUUUUUGUGGGUCAGAAGCCUAGAAGCAGCUUCACUGAGUGGCUCUAGCUCAAGAUCUCUCAUGAAGUUGCAGUCAAGAUCUCAGCUGAGGCUGCAUUAUCUGAAGGCUUGACUGAGGCUGGCAGAAGUGAUUCCAGUAUGGCUCAGCACACACCGAGCACGUUAGUGCUGAUUGUUGGCAGGCAGCUUCAGUUUUUCAGCAUGUGGGCCUCCUCACAGGGGUCCUUGAGUGCCCUCACAACAGGACAGCUGUCUUCU